GACGAACGCUGGCGGCGUGCUUAACACAUGCAAGUCGAACGGAAAGGCCCUGCUUUUGUGGGGUGCUCGAGUGGCGAACGGGUGAGUAACACGUGAGUAACCUGCCCUUGACUUUGGGAUAACUUCAGGAAACUGGGGCUAAUACCGGAUAGGAGCUCCUGCUGCAUGGUGGGGGUUGGAAAGUUUCGGCGGUUGGGGAUGGACUCGCGGCUUAUCAGCUUGUUGGUGGGGUAGUGGCUUACCAAGGCUUUGACGGGUAGCCGGCCUGAGAGGGUGACCGGCCACAUUGGGACUGAGAUACGGCCCAGACUCCAACGGGAGGCAGCAGUGGGGAAUAUUGCACAAUGGGCGGAAGCCUGAUGCAGCAACGCAGCGUGCGGGAUGACGGCCUUCGGGUUGUAAACCGCUUUCGCAUGUGACGAAGAGUGAGUGACGGUAAUGGGUAAAGAAGCACGGGCUAACUACGUG
rnacentral:rRNA from 1 species